UAUAUCCUUUAAUUUUAUGCAAGCAUAAAGAUCGACGGCUGAGAUUUAAAAGAAUCUAUACAACACACAUUACCUUGGAAAAACACCACGCCCCAGUCCCUUCGUUCUUCCCAAUUUUAUUUCCUCAUGGAGUCCACGACCGCCGUCGCCCACAGACCCCUCUCAUCACACGGGAUCCCAAUACCGCACGUCGGACGAAGCGCAUGUGAGCAAUCCCUCAUUCCCGCUAGCAUCACCAGUAUCAGCAAGGAAGGAAGCGUAUUAAGCUUCCAGUAGUCAACAGGUGGCAACCAGUGGUUGGGUUCAGGAUCAAGUGGCGUGGCCCCCUGAUUAGGGAACAGGUUUGAUUUUCCUUUUUUGUUGUCCUCAGUCCUAGUGCACUGCCGUAGUUCAUUUUCGUAUCUAAUAAAGAAAUUAACUGAAGCAGACACCGAGGCUUUCCCCUCCUCGUGUACACAAUUAUCACGUAAGUAUCGUGCUCUCCAGAUUAACAUUAAGACUCUUGCUCGGCCUGUAUCAUCACACGUCGAGUGCAAAUUUUAAGCCAGUCUUCACCAGUAUAACUGAAUGCCUUCUCUGAUGGUAGCAGCCAAUAUUUCCUGAGUUCACCCCCACAAGGCUCUCACGUACGUGUAGGUACUGUCCUAUCCUGGCCGCGCACGAGCUGAGCAAGUUCACAGGUUGGAAUGCAAAACUCUGAAUCCCAUUACAAUUCUCAAGGUUUAUGGCUUCUGAAAUUUGCCCUAAGGAUGCAGCAAACUCGAUUUCCCAAGAGGUUGGAACUCAAAACUCUGAAGCCAUUAGCCCUCCCUCGGGUGUAUUGGGCCCAAAGACCAAAUCACCGGAACCAUCACAAUGUUUUUUAUGCAGAUAUUUGGUGAACUAGAUUAUGUGUCUUCACCGCUGUGUUGGAUAAGUAUCGUGGUGUCAUCUUUUGACUCAAAUAUGUGCAAGGGGUACAAAAAUGCUUUUUCUGAUUAUAUGCCAAUUGAUCAGCACUAUAAUUUUUUGCAAGUAUUAGGUUUUGUUACUGCACAUGGAAAAUCAUAAGAAAGUAGAUAUGAAUGAAUAUUCCAUUAGAACUUUGAUUCCAUUUUAUUGUAACACUAAACUAGGUUUUGUUAGUACUUGUGUGAAAUGAUAGUUCAUAGUGGAACAAGAGGUGCUUUGGUUCAAAUAAGAAAUGAGAAAGUUGCAUUUUGGUGAUGAUUUUCUUCUCCGUAACAAUGCAUGGGAGUUUAAAUGUACGCCAUCUAAAUAUCUUUAUUUAAACUAAUGUACAUGCAUUGCACAUGCAUCAUGUACUCCCUCCGUAAAUAAAUAUGAGCGUUUAGAUCACUACUUUAGUGAUCUAAACGCUUUUAUGCUUCUUUACUGAGGGAGUAUUAUACUGAAACAACGGGGGGGUAAAGAGUUCUUAGUUGAGUUUAUUUUUGAAGGCAUGACUACAUGACCGUUGUUCUUCCAUUGCAACACAAUGGUACUUACCUAUCAUAUCUAAACAUUGGUUUACAUGGGUAAUUAUUUCUUUUCAAGUAGCACUUAAUAGCCAAAUGGAUGGAAGUUUCAUUGAAUGCUAAAUGUUAGAGGUAGUGUCUAAUAGCGAAGAAAAUAUAUUCUAUGGCCAAAUUGGGAACGGUUGAUAUAAAUUUUUCUAUACCUUGGGUGUGUGUAUUUUGAUGGACGGGACAAUCAGUGACCUUAACACACACGUCUUUUGGUAGAGCACCACUGUGC